rnacentral:misc_RNA from 1 species
AAGGAUCAUUAUCGUGGGGCUCCGGCCCCGUCGAGAUAUAACCCUUGCCUUUAUGAGUACCGCCCGUUUCCUCGGCAGGUCCGCCUGCCAAUGGGGACAAGAAACGCCCUGAUAUCACCUGUAACUGCCUGAUAAAACAAACAAAAAUCAAAACUUUCAACAACGGAUCUCUUGGUUCUG